GUUUGAGCCACACACUAAGGUUAUGCUUCGUUCUUUGACCUCGUUUAACUUUGUCUUUGUGCCUUUGUAGAUUAAGAAGAUCUAAGUUUUGGAUUUUUGUCACUCUGGAUGAUCAAGCCAUGGAUUAGAAAAAUCCUGCCUCAUGUCUUCGUUUGGACUCGCAUCAAGCUGGCAGCUUCCUGCUCUCUCCGUCUCCUGAACCAAGCCAUAAGCGUACCCUGUCCACCCUCCAACGUAAACCACCGCACAUCGAACUCAUUCUUUUUGUUCCGAGCUCACACAGAACAGCACCAAGAGAACUCUCUACGGAUAUCCCUGCAAAAGACCUGGAUCCUGAAUCUCAUUCCCUCUGGCGACCUGACCACCAUUACCCAUGAGAUUUUCAUCCUUUUUGUUCCUGAUUCCAUCAUCAAUAAAACAGUCUUUAUUUUA